GGGCGUGGAAGGGGGAGGAGGGGGCCUCCGUUGCGCCGCCUCUGCUUGGAGUACUUGGGAGGAAAGAAAUCCACAGUCUGUAAAGCCUGAUGAAAUCAGCCGGAAGGAUUACCCAGGGAUGAAACGAGGUUAUUAUAAAAUAUCUGCUGGAGCCACCACGCAGAUCUUGUGAGCUUGGAAGCCAGUGUUCCGUGUCAUCAUGGGCUCCCUUUGGUCACCCUGUGAAGUGACUCAGAUGAGAUGCCUGUCUUCGAGGCCUCGGCUGCUUCCUUUUCUCCUUCCUGAUGUCCGCAUUAGGUGUUCCCACAGCAUGCUGUGCACACCUUAUCCAAGCUCUUAAUGUACUCUUGUCUGAUGAGUGCCUUAAAGGGAUAUUUGUAAAGGAAACAGCUUUGGAAGAAUGAGAUGACCGUCUCCCUCCAAUGCCAAAGCCAGAUUUGUUGCUGUCAAGUAUAUUGAAGAUUUAAUGUCGCCCUCUGAGGCAAAGCCUGGACACUUUGGCCUGAAGUCCACGAUGAAAGACUGAAGUUUCCUAAGCUCAGGCUUCCUCAGCAGUGAUACAAACCCAUCGCAUGUGCAGCACCCACCCGCCUGGACUACCAUCACGGGACUUGGGAGGCGAGGAGAACUGAAGGGAUACGAAGCUCAGGCUGCUUGCUGUGCUGUGAACAAUCAAAGUCCUCUGUCUCUGAUCCCAGUACUUUCUGCCAGCACUUAGGAAGCUGUGUUAGCUUGUUAGCCUGGAAAGAGGGUAAACUCUUACACAAUUUUUCAUCAAGCUGCAAUGUUUAGCUUAAAGCAUAUGUUUAUUAUAUAUUUGUUGAAUUAA